rnacentral:rRNA from 1 species
GAGGAAUAUUGGUCAAUGGGCGAGAGCCUGAACCAGCCAAGUCGCGUGAAGGAUGACUGUCUUAUGGAUUGUAAACUUCUUUUAUACGGGAAUAACAAGAGUCACGUGUGACUCCCUGCAUGUACCGUAUGAAUAAGCAUCGGCUAACUCCGUGCCAGCAGCCGCGGUAAUACGGAGGAUGCGAGCGUUAUCCGGAUUUAUUGGGUUUAAAGGGUGCGUAGGCGGCCUGUUAAGUCAGCGGUGAAAUCUAGGAGCUUAACUCCUAAAUUGCCAUUGAUACUGGCGGGCUUGAGUGUAGAUGAGGUAGGCGGAAUGCGUGGUGUAGCGGUGGAAUGCAUAGAUAUCACGCAGAACUCCGAUUGCGAAGGCAGCUUACUAAGGUACAACUGACGCUGAAGCACGAAAGCGUGGGUAUCAAACAGGAUUAGAUACCCUGGUAGUCCACGCAGUAAACGAUGAUAACUGGGCGUAUGCGAUAUACAGUAUGCUCCUAAGCGAAAGCGUUAAGUUAUCCACCUGGAGAGUACGCCGGCAACGGUG